rnacentral:misc_RNA from 1 species
GAUUCAAGAUAAUCAAUGAAUUGUUUCUUUGUAGGGUACUCAGGAUAGUGUUGUGGAAAUGGAAAUUUGGGUAAUUGACAAAAUUGUUUAGGGAGGUGUAGUUUUAAUCUAUUGUAAGUUUUUUUUUGCCAUAGAGAUGCAAUACAAUCUGAUUUCUCCAAGAUUACAAAAGGGAUACCUUGUUCUUUUAAACAAGCACCAACAGCUAGUCCUGAUGGCCCUGCACCUACAAUAACAGGACCAUUUACCCAUACACAUCUACUAGUACUAGAAAAUAAAUCAUGGUCAUUGAAGCUAGCCAUAAUUCGACGACUGACUUUGAAAGCAGAACACGGGCUUGUUUUUGUUUCCAAUAUUGAGGACUAACUCUGUAAACAGAACAUGAACGUAUUUCUGUAUUCAGAAUUUGAUUCAACAAUGACGAUAGAUGAGUAUUUAAACACGAUAUAGUAAUAUGAAGAUCUGAAUCUCGAUGGAUCGUGGUAGCAAGAUCAACUAUGUGAAUGUAGUAAAGAGAGAG